rnacentral:rRNA from 1 species
UACAGAGGGGGCAAGCGUUGUUCGGAAUUACUGGGCGUAAAGGGCGCGUAGGCGGCCUGCUAAGUCGAACGUGAAAUCCCCGAGCUCAACUCGGGAACUGCGUCCGAUACUGGCAGGCUUGAAUCCGGGAGAGGGAUGCGGAAUUCCAGGUGUAGCGGUGAAAUGCGUAGAUAUCUGGAGGAACACCGGUGGCGAAGGCGGCAUCCUGGACCGGCAUUGACGCUGAGGCGCGAAAGCUAGGGGAGCGAACAGG